rnacentral:tRNA from 1 species
GGGGGUGUAGCUCAGUGGUUGAGCACUUGCCCAGUGUGUGAGAGGCGCUGGGUUUGAUCCCCAGCACCACAA